rnacentral:rRNA from 1 species
UCCCGGAUGUCAGCGGCGGACGGGUGAGUAACACGUGGGUAACCUGCCUGUAAGACUGGGAUAACUCCGGGAAACCGGGGCUAAUACCGGAUGCUUGAUUGAACCGCAUGGUUCAAUUAUAAAAGGUGGCUUUUAGCUACCACUUACAGAUGGACCCGCGGCGCAUUAGCUAGUUGGUGAGGUAACGGCUCACCAAGGCAACGAUGCGUAGCCGACCUGAGAGGGUGAUCGGCCACACUGGGACUGAGACACGGCCCAGACUCCUACGGGAGGCAGCAGUAGGGAAUCUUCCGCAAUGGACGAAAGUCUGACGGAGCAACGCCGCGUGAGUGAUGAAGGUUUUCGGAUCGUAAAACUCUGUUGUUAGGGAAGAACAAGUACCGUUCGAAUAGGGCGGUACCUUGACGGUACCUAACCAGAAAGCCACGGCUAACUACGUGCCAGCAGCCGCGGUAAUACGUAGGUGGCAAGCGUUGUCCGGAAUUAUUGGGCGUAAAGCGCGCGCAGGCGGUUUCUUAAGUCUGAUGUGAAAGCCCCCGGCUCAACCGGGGAGGGUCAUUGGAAACUGGGGAACUUGAGUGCAGAAGAGGAGAGUGGAAUUCCACGUGUAGCGGUGAAAUGCGUAGAGAUGUGGAGGAACACCAGUGGCGAAGGCGACUCUCUGGUCUGUAACUGACGCUGAGGCGCGAAAGCGUGGGGAGCGAACAGGAUUAGAUACCCUGGUAGUCCACGCCGUAAACGAUGAGUGCUAAGUGUUAGAGGGUUUCCGCCCUUUAGUGCUGCAGCAAACGCAUUAAGCACUCCGCCUGGGGAGUACGGUCGCAAGACUGAAACUCAAAGGAAUUGACGGGGGCCCGCACAAGCGGUGGAGCAUGUGGUUUAAUUCGAAGCAACGCGAAGAACCUUACCAGGUCUUGACAUCCUCUGACACCCUAGAGAUAGGGCUUCCCCUUCGGGGCAGAAUGACAGGUGGUGCAGGGUGUCGUCACCUCCUGUCCUGAGAUGUUGGGUUAAUC